CUUGGCCUUGGGUUGGUAGAGUAGAGCUCGCUUUCCUCUUUGAUGAGAAGCAGGUUGUAGGAUGGUGGCCUCUUGUACACCUCCUGGCAUUGGACCCAGGACCUGCCAGUGAAUUCCCUGCCACUUGUGGGGAUGUGGCAAUACAGGCGCCUGCCCAGGCUGGAGCUGGUGUCCCGGCGCUUUUUGAGGGUUGCAUGGACUCUGCCUGUUGGGUGGGGGCGGGGACAGAGCAAUGAAGGACACAGGCACAUGUCAGCAAGUCUUCCAUCCUCUCAGUCUGGGGACUUGGCAGACCAGCUCGAGUUUCCUGGCCUUGGGUUGUGAAGCAGGUCAGGCCAGCUGGCUUGGAAGAGCUCUGUGAAACUUGUGUCAGCCUGUAUCUCGGAGUCUUGUUUGCUGUCAGGGAGGUGAUACUGCUGCUGGCCAAGGCCCAGCAGUUCCUUUGGGGCGCAUGUGGAGGCUCUGGACUUGGCGCAGGGAGGGGCUUUCUCUGAAGUUUUCCUCAUUUGACUAAAGAAAGUUUCUCUGGAAGGAAUGUGACUGUUGAUAUGCCCGGAUCCUCUCCCUGGAAUGGACAUUAAUCAGUGAGGAUGGUGAAGAGAUCGACAGCCACUCACCACAGCCAGAGCCCCGGAGACCUUUGUUCCAGGCUAUCUUCAGCUCUCUGGGUCACUUUAUCGCUCCUAAAAUUCAUUUACCCUUCCUCUUGUAUUGGUUCCAUCCCUUACUUUUUGCUCCCUUUGGAAGAGGGUUUUUAAAUUUCAAACAUCUGGCCCUUUGUAUUAGUUCGCUUUCUGCUAAGUAUAAUAAAACUCCUGAUUCUGAGUACUUUGAAAAGAAAAGAGGUUCAUUUAGCUCACAGUUCUGGAGGUUCGAGGGCACAGUGCCAGCGUGGGCUCUGCUGUGCUGGGCAACCUCAUGGCAGAAGUGUGUGCAAAGAGGGAGCCGGGGAGGGAGACAAGGAGCUACAGAGACAAGGGAGGAGCCAGGCUUGGGCUUUUAUAGUAACUCUGGGGGCACUAACCACGGCCCCUGAGAACUAUACUGAUUCCUGCAGGGGGAGCGAGCGCCCUCCAAACCUAAUGCUGUCCCACUAAUCCCUCCUCUUAAGGGUUUUGUGAGCUCCCACUUUGUCACGCUACACACUAAGCCCCCAGCACAUGAAACUCUGGGAGACUGACCCCACCAUGCUCAAAUCAUGUGACUUUUUUUGAAUUUCAUACUUUACGUGACUUACGUGAAUGGACCUGUUAAUAACCAUGCACCUCCUUUCUCUUGUUUAUCUGUCUAUUGUCAGUUUUUUUUCCUGCAGAUUCAAUUAGGGAUCCUUCUGGGGGUGAAGCAGAAGUUCCAGUUAUUUCUACAAGCCUUUGAGACCUGGAAUCACCAUCAACCAAAAAAAGGUCUCUCCAGAUGCCUGCUAGUGCCCCUGGCUGGGGCACGUCCUGUUCACGCAUCACCGCAGGCAGCAGCCCUGGGAUCACAGGCUGUGGACCCAUAUGAUUUUGGAGGAAGCAUGAUGAUCAGACUGGGAAUGUGAAGCAAGAGACUGAGAAGAGUCUAUCUGGAGCCAUUGAGAAGCCAUGUACAUCCACUAUACAUUUCUGAAGGAAAGAGCCGGAAGUCACACAGUGCCCAAUCAGGUGAAGAAGGCGCUGUAACAUUUUUGUGAGCCCGUCUUGCCGUUGGAUGGAACCUUGCAGCAUUACUCAGUGUCAUUUACAUUGUACCUUAUUAAAAAGACUCACAGAAGAGGACUUUCAGAACUGCUUCAGAGAAUGGAAAGACUAGGACAAGCGCACUCAGGGCAAGGGGGAAGUAUUUUGAUGGGGACAGCAAUGUGUCUUUUA